UGGGGAAUAUUGCACAAUGGGGGAAAGACCCUGAUGCAGCGACGCCGCGUGAGCGAUGAAGUAUUUCGGUAUGUAAAGCUCUAUCAGCAGGGAAGAAAAUGACGGUACCUGACUAAGAAGCCCCGGCUAACUACGUGCCAGCAGCCGCGGUAAUACGUAGGGGGCGAAGCGUUAUCCGGAUUUACUGGGUGUAAAGGGAGCGUAGAUGGCGAUGCAAGCCAGAUGUGAAAGCCCGGGGCUCAACCCCGGGACUGCAUUUGGAACUGUAACGCUGGAGUGUCGGAGAGGCAGGCGGAAUUCCUAGUGUAGCGGUGAAAUGCGUAGAUAUUAGGAGGAACACCAGUGGCGAAGGCGGCUUGCUGGACGACAACUGACGCUGAGGCUCGAAAGCGUGGGGAGCAAACAGGAUUAGAUACCC
rnacentral:rRNA from 1 species